rnacentral:rRNA from 1 species
CUAUAAUGCAGUCGAGCGAACGGACGAGAGUGCUUGCACUCUCUGAAGUUAGCGGCGGACGGGUGAGUAACACGUGGGUAACCUACCUAUAAGACUGGGAUAACUUCGGGAAACCGGAGCUAAUACCGGAUAAUAUUUAGCUUCGCAUGAAGCAAUAGUGAAAGACGGUUCUGCUGUCACUUAUAGAUGGACCCGCGGUGUAUUAGCUAGUUGGUGAGGUAACGGCUCACCAAGGCAACGAUACAUAGCCGACCUGAGAGGGUGAUCGGCCACACUGGGACUGAGACACGGCCCAGACUCCUACGGGAGGCAGCAGUAGGGAAUCUUCCGCAAUGGACGAAAGUCUGACGGAGCAACGCCGCGUGAGUGAAGAAGGUUUUCGGAUCGUAAAACUCUGUUGUAAGGGAAGAACAAGUACGUUAGUAACUGAACGUACCUUGACGGUACCUUACCAGAAAGCCACGGCUAACUACGUGCCAGCAGCCGCGGUAAUACGUAGGUGGCAAGCGUUAUCCGGAAUUAUUGGGCGUAAAGCGCGCGUAGGCGGUCUCUUAAGUCUGAUGUGAAAGCCCCCGGCUCAACCGGGGAGGGUCAUUGGAAACUGGGAGACUUGAGUGCAGAAGAGGAGAGUGGAAUUCCAUGUGUAGCGGUGAAAUGCGCAGAGAUAUGGAGGAACACCAGUGGCGAAGGCGGCUCUCUGGUCUGUAACUGACGUUGAGGUGCGAAAGCGUGGGGAUCAAACAGGAUUAGAUACCCUGGUAGUCCACGCCGUAAACGAUGAGUGCUAAGUGUUGGG